CGCCGCCGCCGCCCCCGCCGUCGACGCCGUCCCCGGAGCCGCCGGCGGUGCCGCCGCGCGACUUCCGGUCUCGCACGCCCAUCCCCGAGGAGGAGGAGAGCUCGCCGCGCGGCCCCACGCCCACCUCGCCGCCACACAUCGUCCUCGAGCGGCCGACGCCGUCGCCGUCCCCGCCGCCCGACGCCUCAGCCAAAGGUUCCCCCGCUUCGUCAAGGUCUUCAUCAACCUCCUCACGCGGCAGCGCCUCUGGAGGUGCCGGUGCCAACAAAGAAGAGGGUGCGCCCAAGAAGUCUGGGGAAGCUGGCCCCGCGAAGGACGAGGAGGAGAAAGAGAAGAAGGAAGGAGGUGCAAAGGACAGCGGAAAGGAGGAGCGCGAGGACGGCUCGGCACCGACGCCUUCUCCUCGGGCCUACAAGCCCGGCGGGAAGUCCAAAGUGACGGGGCAGACCCUCACCGGCUGGCUGUAGGCGCAUGCUAGACGCUACACACUACACACUACACUCACUGCCCUCGUCAUGGGGACUUUCUGCGGGUCUGGGCUAGGUAAAUCUCAUAAGGGCUCAUUCCACGUUUCGAGAUAACCACCCCGUACGAGAAGAGUACUGCUCUGAGAAAAGAGGUCGACGAGAGUUCCUUGAAGUAAUAUGUGCUACAUACUAAUUUAAUUUUUCAUACUUGUAUUUUAUCACAAACCAAGGGUGUACUUACCCUUGGAUCAAAUGAACUUUGUAACCUUUGGGGCCAAUGAACUGCCUUCCUUCUAACAUUUCUUACCUAUUUCGUGUAAUUUUAACUUAUAAUCCCUUAAUCAGGCAUAACACAUAAUAACAUACUCUGCAAGCGAUUCUCACAAGAAUAUUUUCAUCCACUUGUCUAGAAGAGACGGGUAAGAGUGUAGCCCAAGAUAUCAUCACAUUUCCACUACCAGCCAGACGUCGACGUAUAUAUCUUGAUGCAGCAGAGGGAAUGAAAAAGCAAGUACUGCAUUGACUGCACUUCGAAAUCUGUGUCGAUCCCUUGUGGCUACAGGGAGAUAAGGGGACACAGUCAUUAGACAUAGCACUCUGUUGCUUUCUUCAGCGUCCAUUGGCCUGGCACUCUUGUUGAAUAGUUAGAAUUAGUCAUUAGAAGGCCACCAUAAUGUAAACCCAUUGAAGGAGCUUUUUAGUUAGAACAAACAUUCCGAAAUAUUUAUUGACAUUCUGCCUAAUUUCUAUAAUGAAAAUAACUUAUAUACGCAAGAUGUUUCCUAAAGGAGAGCUACUGCUUUCUCUCUCUCUCUCUCUCUCUCUCUCUCUCUCUCUCUCUCAGCGUGUGUGUGUGUGUGUGUGUGUGUGUGAGUGAGAGUGAGAGUGUGAGAGAGAGAGAGAGAGAGAGAGAGAGAGAGAUUUUGUGUACGUGUGUGCUUGGAGGAGAGACAAGAGAGAAGAGAGAAGAAGCGUUCCUUAAUCUCCGGUAAUCAGUAAAUGAGGAUAGUAUCGCCACAGUUACUCCCGUAUGAAACGGAAUAAGACAUAGAACUUUGGUUGUAAUUCGUGAAAUGUGUGGAACGUCCAGCUGGCAGGAAUUGUCUUCGCUUCUUGUAUGCCAAACGUUUAACAUCAGCUGCCAACACACAUUUAAGAGUUCAUGAAUUACGGGUACCACUUUUAAGCGAAAUUUACAGAAGGUGCAGUUGGCUCUUAACUGACAAUAAUCACUUUUGAAAAAAAUGAUAAUUCAUCCAAUAAUAACAUACAUUAGAUAUAGCACAUAGUUGACCUGUUUGAAAACAUUAUUAUAAUAAUGUCAGUAUCCCCGUAUCAAGUAAAGCUGAUUGCCAUUACUUUUUACGAGAAACUGCUUUCUAUUCUUAGCUUUUCCUUAAAUUUUGAGUUCUUCACUUUUAAUACGAAUCUCCGUAUGCUUUUAUGAUAUUUGUAAAUAUUUAAAAUUAUAUGAAGCAACAUAAACCUUAUCAGCUCCGUCCAUAACAGUCUCCGCUAUUUUUAUGCUCUACUAGGGCUUUUCAUUCACCAAAAUGUCUAAUUUCCGUAAUUGGGCAGUGAAAUAGACUUGUGUCGACGACCACAGGACAUGGCUGGUACCUCAAUAAUUCCUCCAACUGUUUUUCUCACUAUCUCUUUUUAACAUACGGGUAAUUAAAUAAAUAAAUUUUGAUAAAGCCUUCAGCAAUAGCUGACAUAAGAUUGUGUUGGUUUGACUGUUUUCAGUCCUAAUAAGUACCCAGAAACAAAGUUCUUAACGAAAAUCAAUAAAUUUUGAUCACUUACACUUCAAGAAUUAUUACUAUGUCAUCUUUGUUAAAACAUGUAUAUUGAUUAUGCAAUAAAAUGUGUUUACCAUAAA